rnacentral:rRNA from 1 species
UGACGCGGACUGACCAUCGGAUUGACAGCCAUGCAGUCGUUGUACAUCAGCGGACUGCUCUAACACGUAUAACUUAACCUAUGGAUGGGAAUACCUCGGGAAACUGAAAUAAUACCAAUGGGCCACAGUGCCUGAANAANUUUGGNGGGGNCCCCNUUGUGCGUUGAAAUGAAUUUAUCGCCGGNNUAGGAUAGACUGCGGCCCUAUCACUUGUUGGGUUGCAAGGGUAAUGGCCCACCAAAACGGGGGNCCUAUAACAGGUACGGGCUCUGAGAGGGAAAAAGGGGGCCCGGAGAUGGGUACUGAGACACGGACCCAGGCCCUAUGGGGCGCAGCAGGCGAGAAACCUUUGCAAUGUGCGAAAGCACGACAAGGUUAAUCCGAGUGUCUCCUGCUAAAGGAGUCUUUUGUCAGUUGGUAGAAUCACUAGGUGAAUAAGGGGUGGGCAAGUUCUGGUGUCAGCGCGGGUAAAACCAGCACUCGAGUGGUCAGGAGGUUUAUUGGGCCUAAAGCAUCCGUACCGGUUGCAUAAGUUACGGUUAAAUCUAUGCGCUUAACGUAUAGGCCGCGAAAU